GAUGAACGCUGGCGGCGUGCCUAAUACAUGCAAGUCGAGCGAACGGACGAGAAGCUUGCUUCUCUGAUGUUAGCGGCGGACGGGUGAGUAACACGUGGAUAACCUACCUAUAAGACUGGGAUAACUUCGGGAAACCGGAGCUAAUACCGGAUGAUAUUUUGAACCGCAUGGUUCAAAAGUGAAAGACGGUCUUGCUGUCACUUAUAGAUGGAUCCGCGCUGCAUUAGCUAGUUGGUAAGGUAACGGCUUACCAAGGCAACGAUGCAUAGCCGACCUGGAAGGGUGAUCGGCCACACUGGAACUGAGACACGGUCCAGACUCCUACGGGAGGCACCAGUAGGGAAUCUUCCGCAAUGGGCGAAAGCCUGACGGAGCAACGCCGCGUGAGUGAUGAAGGUCUUCGGAUCGUAAAACUCUGUUAUUAGGGAAGAACAUAUGUGUAAGUAACUGUGCACAUCUUGACGGUACCUAAUCAGAAAGCCACGGCUAACUACGUG
rnacentral:rRNA from 1 species